ACUUACUUCACCGGGUGACAAGGUAUCUUCUGAAGAAUCACCUUUGAAAGGUGGUAGUAACGCUUUCGUUGUCGAGAGCCACAAUUCGAGCCCAGAUAACAUCCUAACUAAGGAUGAUGUUGGCACAGCCACUUCCGACCUCAAAUCCUUCACUCUUAAUAUUGAUCUUGAUAAACUCCAAGGUAAAUCUCAUGUGCUUUCACCAGUGAUCGAAGACGCUCAACCUCUUGCGACUAUCAUUCCUAGUACAGCAGUCGAAGGGAGCCAUUCAACUGAUGAUUCUCCACCUACCCACAAGAGCGAAAAAGCAGAC